CAACCUCUGACUCCCUGGUUCAAGUGAUUCUCCUGCCUCAGCCUCCUAAGUAGCUGGGAUUAUAGGCACACACCACCACAUCCAGCUAUUUUUUGUAUUUUUGGUAGAGACCAGGGUUUCACCAUGUUGGCCAGGAUGGUCUCAAUCUUUUGACCUCCUGAUCCACCCACCUCGGCCUCCCAACAUGCUGGGAUUACAGAUGUGGUCGCUUGGCCACCUCCUCUUGGGAGAAAUGCACUGAUUCUGGUUGCCACGUGGAUUUAUUUUGGGAGUGAUAUUCAUCUAACUUCAUGGAAAUAAUACUAGAUAGAAAGUUAGUGGAUGAAUUCUCUAUCUGAUGAGAGUUUUGGGCAAAUCGAAUACCAAGUUACCAAGUUUUGUUUUUUUCUCUGAUGCAAAAAACAAUUUGCCAGCCGGUGAAAAACUCUCACAGCUCUGGAUGUGAGUUUAGGAUACUGGAUUUCUACCAUUCAAUUUCUUACUACUUUUCUUGCACAGGGAUCAUGGCACAAGCUGCAGUUUCCACCCUGCCCAUUGAAGAUGAGGAGUCCAUGGAAGAUGAGGAGUCCGUUGAAGAUGAGUCUGUUGAAGAUGAGUCCGCAGAGAGCAGGAUGGUGGUGACAUUGCUCAUAUCAGCUCUUGAGUCCAUGGAUCAUGGCACAAGUUGCAGUUUCCACUCUGCCCAUUGAAGAUGAGGAGUCUGCUGAAGAUGAGGAGACAUUGGAGAGCAGGAUGGUGGUGACAUUCCUAAUGUCAGCUCUUGAGUCCACGGUCAGACCUUCUGUUCUCACAUUCUGUAGUUUGGUAGGACUGGGCAAUAGAUAAGGUUGAUUUAUUUUUGUAGAACUUACAAUUUUAUGAUUUUCAGUUCUAAUGAGUAGACCUUUUUCGUGAAUAGUAGUUAUGGUUAAACACCUCUAACCAAAUGUGCAUGUGGAGUUUCUACACUGAUUUUCAGACAAUCUGGAUCCCAACUGGGUAUCCCACAAUUCCAUCCUGACACUCCCUGGAGUUAGUGCAGACCCCGCAGGAUGGGGGCUCAGUCCCAGGAGUCUACCCUCACUCCACAUGCCAAUUGCAAGUCUUGGGUUGUUGCAUGUAGUUUUGACCGACCAGUUAGAAAACAGGGUUUCAUGACCCCGUUGCUGGGUGGAAUCAUUUGCUCGGACAGCUUGCAGAACUCAGAAAAACAGAUUGUUUUCUUUUUUUUCUGAGAUACAGGGUCUCAGUCUGUUGCCAGGCUGGAAUGCAGUGGUGUGAUCAAAGCUCACUGUAGCAUGGGACUCCUGGGCUCAAGUGAUCCUCCCACCUCAGCCUCCCAAAUAGCUGAGACUACAGGCCCGCACCAGCAUAUCUGGCUAAGUUUUUUUAUUUUUUGUAGAGAAGGGGUCUUGUUAUGUUGCCCAGGCUGGUCUCAAAUUUCUGGGCUCACAUGAUCCUCCCACCUCAACUUCACAAAAUGCUGGGAUUAUGGGUGUGAGCCACUGCAUCUCACCAAUUUACUUUCUUUUACUGGUUCAUUUUAAAGGCUGUAUCUCAGAAACAGCCGGUGAAAGAGAUGUACAUGCUGGGCACAGUGGCUCAUGCCUGUAAUUUCAGCUCUUUGGGAGACUGAGGUGGGAGCAUCGCUUAAGUGCUCAGGAGAUUAAGACCAGCGUGGGUAACACGGUGAAAACGCAUCUCUACAAAAAGGAUUUUCUAAAAAUUAGCCAGGUGCAGUGAUCUAUAGUUCUA
rnacentral:lncRNA from 10 species